AAGUAAAAGUCGUAACAAGGUUUCCGUAGGUGAACCUGCGGAAGGAUCAUUACCGAAUUUAAUUCCGGGGUUGUAGCUGGCCAUUGUUUUGGCAUGUGCACGCCCUGGUAAUCCAAAUUACUUACACCUCUGUGCACUAUUAUGUGGGAUUGAUGAAGCUUCGGUGCUUGCGCUGAUGGCAUUAUCAUUCUCAUGUUUUCAUAUACACUCUUCAGUAUAGAAUGUUAUUGCGUCAAACGCAUCUUAAUACAACUUUCAGCAACGGAUCUCUUGGCUCUCGCAUCGAUGAAGAACGCAGCGAAAUGCGAUAAGUAAUGUGAAUUGCAGAAUUCAGUGAAUCAUCGAAUCUUUGAACGCACCUUGCGCUCCUUGGUAUUCCGAGGAGCAUGCCUGUUUGAGUGUCAUGGUAUUCUCAAUCCAUCUGGUUCUGUUAAAAGAACUCAGUUGGACUUGGAUAUGGAGGUUUCUUGCUGGUCUUCAUAGAUCGGCUCCUCUGAAAUACAUCAGCAUGAAUAGAACGCUGUUUUCAGUGUGAUAAUUAUCUACACUGUGAUUUGGCCUUGCUAUUUUUGCUUCCAAUCGUCUGCAUUGUUCAGACAAUUUUAUUGACAUCUGACCUCAAAUCAGGUAGGACUACCCGCUGAACUUAAGCAU
rnacentral:rRNA from 1 species